rnacentral:rRNA from 1 species
UCCAGACUCCUACGGGAGGCAGCAGUAGGGAAUAUUGCUCAAUGGGGGAAACCCUGAAGCAGCAACGCCGCGUGGAGGAUGAAGGUUUUCGGAUUGUAAACUCCUUUUGUUAGAGAAGAUAAUGACGGUAUCUAACGAAUAAGCAUCGGCUAACUCCGUGCCAGCAGCCGCGGUAAUACGGGGGAUGCGAGCGUUAUCCGGAUUUAUUGGGUUUAAAGGGUGCGUAGGCGGCGCUUCAGGUCAGCGGUGAAAUACCGGGGCUCAACCCCGGGGCUGCCGUUGAAACCGGAGCGCUAGAAUUCCGAUGCCGUCGGAGGAAUGUGUGGUGUAGCGGUGAAAUGCAUAGAUAUCACACAGAACACCGAUUGCGAAGGCAUCUGACGAAUCGGAGAUUGACGCUGAUGCACGAAAGCGUGGGUAUCGAACAGGAUUAGAUACCCCAGUA